UCUCGCGGCAAAGGUUUUGUCGGGCGAAAGGGCGGUCGACGAUAUCGAGGGUGGAAUGAGGUGAGAGGGGGCCAUUCUCACGCGGGUGUGAAGGGGUGAGAGGAUUCGAAGUUUACGAUUGAAUCCAGACGAUGUUCGACGACAAAUUGUGUCAUUAUUUUUGUUGGUGUGAGCGAAUCCAGAACGCGACGCUUGUUUUGGUUAUGUUCGUUCGGCGGAAAAAGGGGGAGAGGCGGAAUGGGUUUUCAGGUGUUAAGUGGAAUGAAACGAUUUUUUCACUAAAUGGCUUAUGAUUUUUUUAUAAUGAGUUAUUGAGGACAUGUUUGCAGCUCUGGUUUUAAAUAUUGAUAUUGACCCGUUAGUGAACAUUUUGAAUGGUGAGUGUUGAAAAAAGGCUGAUGAAAUGAUUGAUAAAAUUGCGACGUUCGAAAUCUUUGAGCAUUUUGGUGAAGUUAUUUGUCGAACAACCAAUUUCCCAAUGGCAAAAAAAUUGUAUUUCAAGGGGUUAUUUGUAAACGACCGGAAUUUUUUAAAGUCUAUUAUACGUUGAGGUCAGUGAGUAUU